AAGGAAAACGGUUUGGUAACUGAUUGGACUUCGUGCUGCGGCGGUGUGGGGAAAGUUCGGAGAAUUAUGUUAGCGCCGACUGGGAAAAACUGCUGAGUGCCCAGCUGAGGCAGCCUGUGCCGCGGGGAGCCAUUGAAACGGCGGCGGGAAGCGGGCUGGGGGGACGCUGAGGAAGUUGAUGUGACAAUCCGGAAAAGAGGUCCCUGAUGAACCCAGAAAACCCUCCACCAUAUCCGGGCCCUGGUCCGACAGCCCCAUACCCACCUUAUCCACAACAACCAAUGGGGCCUAUGGGGGCGCCCUAUCCCCCUCCUCAGGGAUACCCCUACCAAGGAUACCCACAGUACGGCUGGCAGGGCGGGCCUCAGGAGCCUCCUAAGACCACAGUGUACGUGGUGGAACGGGAGAAGAAGACGGACAGCGGGUGUCAGGCGGCUCUGGCGGCGUGCUGGGCUGCACUCUGCUGCUGCUGCCUCCUGGACAACUUGGACUGAGCAGCCAGACCCGAGGGGCCCACAGCCUGCCGCCUCCUGUUUGGAAAUAAACAACUAGUGUUGCACACUCUU